rnacentral:lncRNA from 1 species
GCGGGCGGGCCGUUACCUCCCGCGCAUGCUCUAUGGGGUAGAGACGCUAGGCCGGCACUGCCUAGGUGGGCCGGGCGGUGCGAGGGUCGCCUUUCAGCCUUUACCUCUACCCACUGAAAUGGAGUAGGUCGGUGAGCGCCGAUCUGCUGGAGAAUCUCAUUAUCCCAUCGGCGCUCUGCCUGCUCCUGGCCUCCAAGCCUCUGAAGCCCCUCGGGUUUCAGCUGCCGGCUACCCUCGAGCCCGUGGUGCCCACGAGAGAGGCGACUUUACGUCAGCGGCCCUGGGCUGAGAUUUGAGAACGCGACCAAGUGGAGAAUGUUGGAGCCAGAUUUUAAAAUCCUUGUCUUCCUUCUGCGUGCUACUUGAUCUAAAUGAGAUACGGCAAAGUCACAGAACCUGUUUUUAUGUUUUUGCCUGAUUCAUACGGGCUUCUCCGGUGAAGAUGGGCCUGAAGUAACGCUUGGGUUGCUUCUGACGUUAUAACUCAUCCUGUAGCUGCAGCAACCGUGGUCCUUGCAACCUCAUAAAAAUGUUGCCAGCAUUGUUUCGAUAGUGCUGCUUAAUUCUUGGAAGGCCUCUUUGCUUUCUUCCCUGAGGUUCUUCGGACUUCACACAUUCCAGCAGUAGCUCUCUCAGCUCCUGUCCUGCACAGCUUUGAAGUGCUGUUAACCAACAGGACACAGCCCUGGUGAUGGCUUUCUGAGGAUGACACGAUGGAGGCUUCUCCAAUAGCUCUAAAACUGCGGUGUGGAAAACAUUCGGCAGCCUCAAAGAGCGGUCUUGUUGACCCCAACUAUAUCAUUUUUCAUCAAAAUCAUUCUUGUAAAGAAUGACCAGGCAACACUCUUUGAAAAUUGGAGGCCAUUUGCAGCUGCUCUCUGUUGAGGAAAGUGAAUAAUAGGGUGCCCUCAAGGAAUUGCAAAGGUAUCACUCAACAGAAACUUUCGUGUCUGAAGAAAACUAGAUCAUUUUAUCAUGGUAGGCAUGCUGAUAUGUUUGCUUUAAUAAAAUGCCAUAUUUCUGCCUUUAAUCUCUUGUCAACCCGCUAUUAAAAAGCCCCAAAGUGCAUGUGUGCAGCGCAUGUAAACACUUGUGGUUUUGAGGUUACCACAGAACAUACUAAUAAAGCAUGUAAUUUGUGUUUUGUGCA